rfam:Ailuropoda melanoleuca scaffold168_59, whole genome shotgun sequence.
GUCUAUGGUCAUACCAGCCCGAAUGCGCCUGAUCUCAUCUGAUCUUGGAAGCUAAGCAGGGUAGGCCUGGUUAGUAGUUGGAUGGGAGAGGGGCACCUGGGUAGCGCAGUCGUUAAAGCGU